rnacentral:rRNA from 1 species
ACGUAGGGGGCAAGCGUUAUCCGGAAUUAUUGGGCGUAAAGAGUGCGUAGGUGGUUUUUUAAGCGUGAGGUGAAAGGCAAUAGCUUAACUAUUGUAAGCCUUGCGAACUGGAAGACUUGAGUGCAGGAGAGGAAAGUGGAAUUCCUAGUGGGCGGGUUAAAGGCGUGUAUAUGAGGAGGAGCACCGAUGGCGAGGGCGACAUACAGGAUUAGAACUUAUACUGUUCCGCUAGAGUGUUUGUUACACACAG